AUGGGAGCUGCUGCAGGGUGGAUUUUCUGCGUCUGUCUGUGGCUGGUCUGCGUCCAUCUGUGUCCAUUUGUGUCCAUCUAUAGCUGGUCUGUGUCCAUCUGUGUCCAUUUGUGUCUGUCUGUGGUUGGUCUGCAUCCAACUGCAUCCAUUUGUGGCCAUCUGCAGCUGGUCUGCAUCCAUCUGCGUCUGUCUGCGUCCAUUUGUGGUCGUCUGCAGCUGGUCUGCAUCCAUCUGUGUCCAUUUGUGUCCAUCUGCAGCUGUUCUGCGUCUGUCUGCAUCCAUCUGCGUCCAUUUGUGGCCAUCUGCGGCUGGUCUGCGUCUGUCUGCGUCCAUUUGUGGCCAUCUGCGGCUGGUCUGCGUCCGUCUGCGUCCAUUUGUGGCCAUCUGCGGCUGGUCUGCAUCCUUCUGCGUCCAUUUGUGGCCAUCUGCGGCUGGUCUGCGUCUGUCUGCGUCCAUUUGUGGCCAUCUGCGGCUGGUCUGCGUCCGUCUGCGUCCACUUGUGGCCAUCUGUGGCUGGUCUUCGUCUGCGUCCAUUUGUGGCCAUCUGCGGCUGGUCUGCGUCCGUCUGCGUCCACUUGUGGCCAUCUGCGGCUGGUCUGCGUCCGUCUGCGUCCACUUGUGGCCAUCUGUGGCUGGUCUUCGUCUGCGUCCAUUUGUGGCCAUCUGCGGCUGGUCUGCGUCUGUCUGCGUCCAUUUGUGGCCAUCUGCGGCUGUCUGCGUCCGUCUGCGUCCAUUUGUGGCCAUCUGCGGCUGGUCUGCAUCCGUCUGCGUCCAUUUGUGGCCAUCUGUGGCUGGUCUGCGUCUGUCUGCGUCCAUUUGUGGCCAUCUGCGGUUGGUCUGCGUCCGUCUCUGUCCAUUUGUGGCCAUCUGUGGCUGGUCUGCGACCGUCUGCAUCCAUUUGUUUCCGUCUGUGGCUGGACUGCGUCCAUCUGUGUCCAUUUGUGGCCGUCUGUGGCUGACCUGCAGGGUUGCUCACUGUGCUGCUUCGGGGGUAGAACUGAGGAAGAGCCGGCAUGCCUCUCUGGCUGCAUCCACCAAGACUGCAAGGUGCACAAUCUUGGAAAACCAUGGCUCUCAGCGUGUUUCCCUUAGGCACACAAUGAGCUGACAUGCUUUGUGCAGGAAUCCGCCGGGUGGUGCUGGAAAGUCUGAGUGCAGAUACCUCAGAUGUACUUCAUGAGAGAACCCCCCCCCCCCCCCGCAAUUUAUAUAGAAAGGUUAUGUUUGAUGAAGCGAAGAGAAUAAACACCAAGAAUGUAUUUUAUAUCUUUGUUAA
rnacentral:lncRNA from 1 species